rnacentral:rRNA from 1 species
AUUGAACGCUGGCGGCAGGCCUAACACAUGCAAGUCGAGCGAGCGGCGGACGGGUGAGUAAUGUAUGGGGACUGCCCGAUCGAGGGGGAUAACUACUGGAAACGGUGGCUAAUACCGCAUACUAUCGUAUAACCCAUAUGGGAUUAGCUAGGGGGUGGGGUAAAGGCUCACCUAGGCGACGAUCUCUCGCUGGUCUGAGAGGAUGAACGGCCACACGGGGCAUGGGACACGGCCAAGACUCCUACGGAGGAAGCAGGGGGGAAUAUUGCAAAAUGGGGGAAAGCCUGAUGCAGCCAGGCCGCGGGGAUGAAGAAGGCCUUAGGGUUGUAAAGUACUUUCAGCGGGGAGGCGGUACCCGCAGAAGAAGCACCGGCUAACUACGUGCCAGCAGCCGCGGUAAUAC